AUUGCCUCAGUAACGGCGAGUGAAGCGGCAACAGCCCAGAUUUGAAAUCUGACCUUCGGGUCCGAGUUGUAAUCUGCAGAUGAGUCUUCCGGCAGAGCGCCGUCCAAGUGCCCUGGAACGGGUCGCCGGAGAGGGUGAGAGCCCCGUACCGACGCGCGCCGAGCCUCUGUGAAGCUCAUUCGAAGAGUCGAGUAGUUUGGAAAUGCUGCUCUAAUUGUGGGGUAAAUCUCCCAUAAGGCUAAAUACCGGCCAGAGACCGAUAGCGCACAAGUAGCGUGAGCGAAAGAUGAAAAGAGCCUUGAACAAGGGCGUCAAAAAGCAUGUGAAAUUGUUGUGGGGGAAGCGUUCGAUGCCAGACAUGGCGGCGGUUGGUUACCCGGCGUUCUUCGCCGGCGCACUCUGCCGUCGCCAGGCCAGCAUCAGUUCGGAUCGAGGCCUACUGCCAGUGGGAACGUGGCUCCUCCGGGAGUGUUAUAGCCCAUUGGUAACGUCUCGGACCGGACUGAGGACCGCGCUUCGGCUCGGAUGCUGGCGUAAUGGCCUCUAGCGACCCGUCUUGAAACACGGACCAAGGAGUUGACCUAGCGUGCGAGUGUUUGGGUGUCAAGCCCUUACGCGCAGUGAAAGCGAAUGCAGGUGGGAGCUUCGGCGCACCAUCGACCGAUCCUGAAGUUUACGGAUGGAUUUGAGUAAGAGCACGUUGGGUCUGACCCGAAAGAAGGUGAACUAUGCAUGAAUAGGGUGAAGCCAGAGGAAACUCUGGUGGAGGCUCGCAGCG
rnacentral:rRNA from 1 species